AUAACAUUUGGAAACAGAUGCUAAUACCGCAUAACAAUUUGAAUCGCAUGAUUCAAAUUUAAAAGAUGGCUUCGGCUAUCACUUUGGGAUGGACCUGCGGCGCAUUAGCUUGUUGGUAGGGUAACGGCCUACCAAGGCUGUGAUGCGUAGCCGAGUUGAGAGACUGAUCGGCCACAAUGGAACUGAGACACGGUCCAUACUCCUACGGGAGGCAGCAGUAGGGAAUCUUCCACAAUGGGCGCAAGCCUGAUGGAGCAACACCGCGUGAGUGAAGAAGGGUUUCGGCUCGUAAAGCUCUGUUGUUAGAGAAGAACGUGCGUGAGAGCAACUGUUCACGUAGUGACGGUAUCUAACCAGAAAGUCACGGCUAACUACGUGCCAGCAGCCGCGGUAAUACGUAGGUGGCAAGCGUUAUCCGGAUUUAUUGGGCGUAAAGCGAGCGCAGGCGGUUUGAUAAGUCUGAUGUGAAAGCCUUUGGCUUAACCAAAGAAGUGCAUCGGAAACUGUCAGACUUGAGUGCAGAAGAGGACAGUGGAACUCCAUGUGUAGCGGUGGAAUGCGUAGAUAUAUGGAAGAACACCAGUGGCGAAGGCGGCUGUCUGGUCUGCAACUGACGCUGAGGCUCGAAAGCAUGGGUAGCGAACAGGAUUAGAUACCCUGGUAGUCCAUGCCGU
rnacentral:rRNA from 1 species